GAUGAACGCUGGCGGCGUGCCUAAUACAUGCAAGUCGAGCGAACAGACGAGGAGCUUGCUCCUCUGACGUUAGCGGCGGACGGGUGAGUAACACGUGGAUAACCUACCUAUAAGACUGGGAUAACUUCGGGAAACCGGAGCUAAUACCGGAUAAUAUAUUGAACCGCAUGGUUCAAUAGUGAAAGGCGGUUUUGCUGUCACUUAUAGAUGGAUCCGCGCCGCAUUAGCUAGUUGGUAAGGUAACGGCUUACCAAGGCAACGAUGCGUAGCCGACCUGAGAGGGUGAUCGGCCACACUGGAACUGAGACACGGUCCAGACUCCUACGGGAGGCAGCAGUAGGGAAUCUUCCGCAAUGGGCGAAAGCCUGACGGAGCAACGCCGCGUGAAUGAUGAAGGUCUUCGGAUCGUAAAACUCUGUUAUUAGGGAAGAACAAAUGUGUAAGUAACUAUGCACGUCUUGACGGUACCUAAUCAGAAAGCCACGGCUAACUACGUG
rnacentral:rRNA from 1 species